ACUGGAAUAUGGAAGUUGUCAUGGAUCAUCCAGUUCUGGGGUCCAUGACUUUCUGUAAAGGGUCAGAUAGUAAAUAUACUUGGUUUUGCAGGUCAUAUGGUUCCUGGGUCAACCACUGGACUUGGAAGUUGUAGCAUGAAAGCUUUCGUAGACAGUACACAAAUGAGUAGGCACAGCAGUGUUCCAGCAAUGAUGUGAAAGCUGACUAAAAACAACUGUUAAUGUAUGUGGAAGUACAUCUUUAUUGAGGGUGAAAGUUUGGUGGAGAACUGUUGAACUAUAGAACAAUCUCAGUGUUUCCAAGGUGGAAGCCAAGUGAUGGCCAGGGUCACAGUGAGCAAAUGGCAGAUGGGAUCUUGCAUCCUAGUCCCUCAGAACCUACAGCCUGGAGGUGGAGUUAAUGGUCACCACUUCCUUUGAAUGCAUAGGAACAAGCAGUCUGCAUGUUGUCUCAUUCAAUCUUUAAAACCACCCUAGUAAGGUUAACACUUCCUGACCAGAAGCUUGAUGUGGAACAAUUCAAGUAUCAUGAGGUCAUUGUCUUCGGAGAUCUUUCUCAGAGUACCCAUAGAUCUAAAAAGGGGAGACAGCACAUCUGGCUGAGUUACUGAAUUGAAAAUAAAGAUAUUUAAUGUUAACACCCAAAGAACCAGAAUCUUAUGGUAAGGAAAUAUUUGCUAAUAAAGAUCAUGUUAAUUUGCUUUGUAACAAAACCCCAGAGACUAGCACCUGCAAGAGCAUGUGGAACACGGGUCUCCCGUGCCAUAGGAGACAGGCAAAGAUGUGGAGAAUUUGCUAGUUGAGGAAGUUUGGGGUCACAGGGAGGCAAUUAGCAAUAUCCCCACAAAUAAUAAAAG